rnacentral:rRNA from 1 species
AUUGAACGCUGGCGGCAGGCCUAACACAUGCAAGUCGAGCGAGCGGCGGACGGGUGAGUAAUGUCUGGGAAACUGCCUGAUGGAGGGGGAUAACUACUGGAAACGGUAGCUAAUACCGCAUACCAUCAGAUGUGCCCAGGUUGGAUUAGCUAGUAGGUGGGGUAACGUCUCCCCUAGGCGACGCUCCCUAGCGGGUCUGAGAGGUAGACCAGCCACACUGGAACUGAGCAAGGGGCCAGACGCCUACGGGAGGCAGCAGUGGGGAAUAUUGCACAAUGGGCGCAAGCCUGAUGCAGCCAUGCCGCGUGUGUGAAGAAGGCCUUCGGGUUGUAAAGCACUUUCAGCGGGGAGGCGUUACCCGCAGAAGAAGCACCGGCUAACUCCGUGCCAGCCGCCGCGGUAAUUC